GUUGAGAUGCUUUGGGCCAUUUUUGUUUUGGAUGAAUUCUCAGUUUUUGCUCCUACAUGCUGGCUUUUGAAUCAUCCACAUAAAGGUCAUAUUCUAAUGGUUCCUCCGAAAUUGUCAUUGAUCUUUCGGCAAAGUCGAAUCUAUGUUUAAUGCCAAAUUAGCAAUUUGUAUUCUCUAAUAUGUUUUUGUUU